rnacentral:misc_RNA from 1 species
UUUCCGUAGGUGAACCUGCGGAAGGAUCAUUAAAGUUAUAGUCCCCUGGCCCUCUGGGCUGGGGUCUUCUAUACCACCCUUUGUUUAUUACACCUCUGUUGCUUUGGCAGGCCUGCCCUCGGGCUGCUGGCUCCGGCCGGCGAGCGCCUGCCAGAGGACCUAAACUCUGUUUGUCUAUAAUGUCUGAGUACUAUAUAAUAGUUAAAACUUUCAACAACGGAUCUCUUGGUUCUG